rnacentral:rRNA from 1 species
AGAAUCAACGCUGGCGGCGUGCCUAACACAUGCAAGUCGAACGAGAAAGUGGAGCAAUCCAUGAGUAAAGUGGCGACCGGGUGAGUAACACGUGACUAACCUACCUUCGAGUGGGGGAUAACAUCGGGAAACCGAUGCUAAUACCGCAUAACAUCGCAAGAUCAAAGCAGCAAUGCGCUGGAAGAGGGGGUCGCGGCUGAUUAGCUAGUUGGCGGGUAACGGCCCACAAGGCGAAGAUCGGUAGCCGGCCUGAGAGGGCGCACGGCCACACUGGAACUGAAACACGGUCCAGACUCCUACGGGAGGCAGCAGUGGGGAAUUUUGCGCAAUGGGGGAAACCCUGACGCAGCAACGCCGCGUGGAGGAUGAAGCCCCUUGGGGUGUAAACUCCUUUCGACCAAGACGAUAAUGACGGUACUGGUGGAAGAAGCACCGGCUAACUCUAGUGCCAGCAGCCGC